rnacentral:rRNA from 1 species
AAAUGAAUUGACGGGGGCCCGCACAAGCGGUGGAGCAUGUGGUUUAAUUCGAUGCAACGCGAAGAACCUUACCUAGGCUUGACAUGAACUGGAAGAGUGGCAGAGAUGUCCUCGCUCGCAAGAGUCGGUUCACAGGUGCUGCAUGGCUGUCGUCAGCUCGUGUCGUGAGAUGUUGGGUUAAGUCCCGCAACGAGCGCAACCCUUGCCUUUAGUUGCCAGCAUUAAGUUGGGCACUCUAAAGGGACUGCCGGUGUUAAACCGGAGGAAGGUGGGGAUGACGUCAAGUCCUCAUGGCCCUUAUGUCUAGGGCUACACACGUGCUACAAUGGUGGUCACAGAGGGAUGCAAAGCCGUAAGGUGAAGCCAAUCCCACAAAAGCCAUCUAAGUUCAGAUUGAGGUCUGCAACUCGACCUCAUGAAGUUGGAAUCGCUAGUAAUCGCGGAUCAGAACGCCGCGGUGAAUACGUUCCCGGGCCUUGUACACACCGCCCGU